rnacentral:rRNA from 1 species
UACGUAGGGUGCGAGCGUUUGUCCGGAAUUAUUGGGCGUAAAGGGCUCGUAGGCGGUUUGUCGCGUCGGGAGUGAAAUCCACUGGCUUAACUGGUGGCUUGCUUUCGAUACGGGCAGACUGGAGGUAUGCAGGGGAGAACGGAAUUCCUGGUGUAGCGGUGGAAUGCGCAGAUAUCAGGAGGAACACCAAUAGCGAAGGCAGCUCGCUGGGACGUUACUGACACUGAGGCGCGAAAGCGUGGGGAGCGAACAGG